rnacentral:rRNA from 1 species
UAACGCGUGGAUAACCUGCCUCAUACAGGGGGAUAACAGUUAGAAAUGACUGCUAAUACCGCAUAAGCGCACAAGAUCGCAUGAUCAUGUGUGAAAAACUCCGGUGGUAUGAGAUGGAUCCGCGUCUGAUUAGCCAGUUGGCGGGGUAACGGCCCACCAAAGCGACGAUCAGUAGCCGACCUGAGAGGGUGACCGGCCACAUUGGGACUGAGACACGGCCCAAACUCCUACGGAAGGCAGCAG